ensembl:lncRNA
AAAAAACUGGCUGAAUUGAGUCCUCGAAUUGUUGACUCUGAAGUGAAGCACCAACAGUCAGUUUCCUCCGUCACACCGUUUGAGCAACACCAUUCUUUGAUGCAUCCUGCUGUGGUUAGAGGCGUUGAUCCUCUUUUUGGGGUUCUUUAUAAGCAGGCAAGGCUCUGAAGCAUUGAGCAACAGGAGCCGCGCAUGAAAGCAAUACCUUUCACAGCGUUUUUUAAUACACACAUGUUGUGUAUCUAGAACAUCCCCACCUGCCGCCACCACCAACCGAACUCACAAUGCCCUCCAUCCGUCUUUCCCUCUUUAUCCUGGGUUUGGUUGUGGCUUGUGUCUCAGGUGAAAAAUCAAAUACCACUUCAAACCCCACAAAUUCAAACUCCAAAAUUUCAAACUCCGAAACUUCAAACUCCGAAACUUCAAAUGUAAAUGGCUCCACUACCGCCACUCAAACAUCCCUCAACGCCAUCACCACCACCGGAACCACCACCAAUGCCACCGAUGCCUCAAGCUACACACCGAGCAGCAGCGCCAUCUCGCCCUCGACAGCAACGCAGACCGGAUUCUCCAGUUCAAGUGGGGGAAGUGUCAAAACAACAAGCGCACCUAGAACCACGGACAAAAUGACAACAACUACCACCAAAGUACACAAAAAGGAGACAACCACCACUGCUAAGCCAGCUGAGACGGCGUCAGUGGACACCACCGGCAUUAUCAUCCUAGUUGUGAUCGGCGUCGUAAUCCUUGGAUUUGGAGUUUGCUGCUACUUACAGCGGAAUAGAAGAAGGCGGUACUCUGUGGACUUCACCUCCAGACCGGAUGAAGCCAACAUCCCUCUCAGCACCAUGGAGCCCGAGUUACAGGUCGAUGCCGCGCCUCAGAACGGACUGCAAACCUUUGAAAGGGAAGAAGCUAAGACAGAGAUGCGAGAACCAGAGGCCAAGCCUGAAGCAAAGGAGGAGCAGAAAGGUGAGGCUGAGGAAUCUCACGUUGGUCCCGGGGCUGAGUCUGCUGCCCCGGCGGCGACCCCAGAGAGCCCCGCGGACGAACCCAAAGCGGCCGCCGUUGAGCAGAGUCCCCCCGCGCCCGUGGAGCCAAGUGUGGACGAGAAAACCGACGAAGAAGGCGACGUCUCCAACAAGACCUCUGUGGAGUCGCUGAAAGAGACCAACGAGAACAACAGCAAUAAUGCCGACUUCAAUGCGACUGGAGAUUGAAGGAGUGACCACGACGGAGAAGGGCACGUCUGCUCGUACCGUGUGAGAUAUUUAGCGGGCUGUUUUCUCCUUGUUAGAAACAAAUUUACUGCAGCAGAGCAGCUUUUUCCCAGUUAAACGUUAGCUGAACUCUGAGUUUUAAGCAUUUUAGUGAUUUAACGGUGACUAUUUAGUUGGUCUAUAUACUAAAUGUGAUUACGUUUGGUACUGCAGAACAGUAAUACACGUUGAAUUUCAUCUCCCAAGCCAUUCAGCUUUUAUAAACUUAUAUAAACAUAUUAUACGUGGUUUCUAACACACUGAGAUGUAGUUUUAAGCAGCCAUAAUUUACUCUUUUUGUGGAAAUAUAUUAAUAGAGUAAAAUACAUUUGUAUUAAUAUACUUUACAUUAAUCAAACCUAACUGAUAUUCUUUCAUCACAUAACGAUAAACACAUUUGUAAAUAAUGAUGUAUAAAUAAGCAAGACGUUAUAAGAUUGUCAGAUUUAAAUCAGUGUUCUUUCUUAAAUUUAUGAUGUAAUGGUAUUUUGUAACUCAUGCAUUUUGAUUUUUUCAUGUGUUUCCCAUUCAGUAGUGUGAAGGUUUAUGCUAAAAAUUGCAAUGAAUGAUGAAAAGUAUUGUAAUUUGUCUUGAAUGUUUUUUGCAAUGAAUUUCCUUUACAGUUCAUAGGCGCCAUCUUGGCUAAUCUUAACCGACCACAUUACGUAAUGAAAAAAGUGACACAAACCAGCAGGUUGUUAACUGUAAAACAAAAUGAACAAACUAAAGAUGGGUCAAUGUUUCUUUUUACCAGAAAUCAUUUUGCUUAUAAAAUAAAAUAACUUGAUCAACAUUAUAUUCAUCAUGUAACCUUCAAUCCACAAUUGUUAUUCACAUUUCUGAUUAACAUCAAUAAACUGUAUACUCGCACAUCUUUGGCCUCUAAAAAUAAUCACCAUACAGUUUUUUCUGCUCACUUUCACCAGCUGUUCUUUUAGAUAUAAAAAUUGUAUCUGGUAGUAGACGUGUACAGUCAUUAUUGCUAAAUAAACCUUCAACAGAUGGAGGUUGAAUCUUAUUUUUGUUUUGUUUUAUGCAUUUUAUUUUUUGCUUUAUUUACUGUGUUUCAGAAAAAUGAUCUUACAAUACAGCACAAUUAUUUGGUGUGUGUCCAAUUAAAUAUGG